rnacentral:rRNA from 1 species
AUACGGAGGAUCCGAGCGUUAUCCGGAUUUAUUGGGUUUAAAGGGUGCGUAGGUGGUUUGAUAAGUCAGCGGUGAAAGUUUGCAGCUUAACUGUAAAAAUGCCGUUGAAACUGUCGGACUUGAGUGUAAAUGAGGUAGGCGGAAUGCGUGGUGUAGCGGUGAAAUGCAUAGAUAUCACGCGGAACUCCGAUUGCGAAGGCAGCUUACUAAGCUACAACUGACACUGAAGCACGAAAGCGUGGGGAUCAAACAGGAUUAGAUACCCUGGUAGUCCACGCAGUAAACGAUGAUUACUAGCUGUUUGCGAUACACAGUAAGCGGCACAGCGAAAGCGUUAAGUAAUCCACCUGGGGAGUACGCCGGCAACGGUGAAACUCAAAUGAAUUGACGGGG